AUGGGGGGGGUCUAAGUUUGUGAGAGAUAAUCAUUGGUACACAUUUAUGGCCUCAAGCUAUUAUGUAGACUCCGUCUUCCGCCGUAUUUAUGUACCAAAACGGUGCAAACAACACAAAACCCACAAAACAAUCAAACGUGCAACCUGAAGUGCUGCUGUAUCAGCGGUGAGGUUUGUGGCAUUGGAAGAGCAGAGACAAGUGUGUCGCAGAAACCACAUGUUGGUACUGGAGCCAAACUGGGGCCGUCCCCCAAGAUGUGGAGCUACGCCGAUGGACCCAGAUAGAACAAUGCGUUCUGCAUUGGAGAGGACAAAUGACCCUAACAAAGGAAACUCUCAGCUGCACUUGUGGCUUUCACAAUGCCAAGGUCUAUCUACUCAGUGGAAUUCAUAAUGACACUCUACUGGAGUAUGCGUCUCUGCAAAGCUUCGCAGAGAGGACCACCACCUCACCUGUUAAGGCAAUACAGCUGCUGUUCCACUGGCAGGGGACAGGUCACAUUGUCUGUAAUGGAUUUCUCUACUACCACAAGGCAGAUACACCCAACCAGAUAGUGAAGGUCGGCCAUACUGACAGUUUUUGGUUGUCUUCCACUGUUUGUAAAAAAUGGUCACACUGGCAGAUCACA